rnacentral:lncRNA from 1 species
CUCCAAGGUAUAAGCGAUUCUCCUGCCUCAGCCUCCCGACUAGCUGGGAUUACAGGCAUUCACCACCAAGCCCGUCCAAUUUUGUAUUUUUAGUAGAGACGGGAUGUCCCCAUGUUGGUCAGGUUGGUCUCGAGCUCCCGACCUCAGGUGAUCGCCCGCCUCGACCUCCCAAAGUGCUGGGAUUACAGGCGUGAACCACCGUGCCCGGCCUUGCCCGCAUGUGUUUUGAAUUUUGCUGCCCGGAAUUCACUGCGAGGACUGGGAUCACCCGUCGCCCCGCCCUGGUCUACGGAAAAUGAAAUGUGUUUACUGAUACAGAAACGGAAUAACGGCGCUGUGGGCUGGGGAGGGCCGAGCUGCCUUCAGGCUUCUGGUCUCCAGCUGCAGGGCACUCACACCUGCCCGCUAUGAAAAUGCAGACCCGCGGGGCAGGAAUUCCGAGUCGGGGCUGGAGCGCGAUCUGGAAUCCGGCUCUCUUGAAACAGCACCGCGGAGGAUUCGGAUCCGGGCUCUGACCGGCAGACCCAGGCUGCACGAUGGAUGAAUAACGUACUCAGACACCGAUAUUCAGUGAAAGAGUGCACCAGAGGGCCAGGCCACUCACAGAAAGGGUUGUGGCAGCUGCGUGCCCUGACUAUCUGGCCCUGUGGGCCUUUAUUCAGCACAGAUUUAAUGACAAAGGCUUUGAGUCAACACACCUGUGGAUAAUUAAUCUGGUCGCAGUCCCCCGGAGAGAGCAGUCCUACAAAUGAUCAAAGUUUCCUACUACGACCCAAUUAAACACAAAAGGAAGAUCCUGGCUAUGCGAGGAUGAUUCAGUGAUGGCCUUCAAAUAACCACCCCUGGUUAUUCACCUUCCCCAGUUACUCAAUCAACAUUACUGUAGGUGCCGCUGUGAAGGGAUUCUGCAGAUAUAAGGAAGGUCCCAAAUCAGUUGACUUUAAGGCCAUGAUUAUCCUGCCUUGGACUGUCCUAAUCAGGUGAGCUCUUAAAACAACUUAUUUCUUCUUCAGCAAAGAGAUUCACAGUGUGAGCGAGAUUCAACGUGAGGGGCUUCCUCCACUGUGAGCUUUGAAAAUGGAGGGGCCAUGUGGCAAAGGAUAUGGCGGGCUCCAGGAAUUGAGAACAGCUCCACCCCACCUCCACCUGACAGCUGCCCAGGAACAAGGACUACAAUCCCACAACUGCCUGAAACUGAAUUCUGCCACCAAGCUCUGUAUAAGCUUGAAGGAGGACCCCAGCCUCAAGAUGAGGACACAGCUUCGUGAAAUCCUGAACUGAGAAUCAUUCACACCAGGCCUGGAUUUCUCAUUAAGGAAAUGUAGAGAAAUAAAUGGGUGCUGUGUAGAGCCAGUGAGUUAGUGGUAAUACGU